UACACCUGUGAGCAGUUGCCCCAGCCCAGGUGGUGUGCAUGAAGCUAUUAGCUCUCCACAUUACCUUCACAGCUUCUGCCAGCUGGAUUCAGGCAGCUAAGAGGGCUGAGUGAGUCUUUUGCAGGGCAAGGCAAAAGCCUGCUUUAAGAAUUUUUUCAGUGUGUGUAACUGAUGAAGAUACAGAUUAAAGAAUCACCCUAAGGGUGUUUAUAACAGAUCAGCUGUUUCUUAUCAGCAUCUUACUGCCCCUCGUACUUUCGGGGGGCUAAAGGAGAGACUUUGCUGACUAAAAGCUUUUGAAGAAAUGAGAUGCCUGGAUCUAAAAAGGCAGUGACUGGAUCGUGCAUCAUACUAGGAAACGUCGGGCGUAAGAUUGAACUGCUUUGGUUUUCUUGCCUAUAGCUGAGCUGAGGAAGAGGAACGAGGAAUUCCCUGGUUGUGUUUCCAGCUGCUGGGCUUGGAACAGGAAGCUGCCUGUAACACUGGCACUGCUGUACUUGCUGCCCUCUUACUGAGGCAAAGAAGCCGUUGCCUCUCAUGUGGUAGUAUGGAGUGGACCCAGAUCCUGCCUGCCUGGAGGACCAAGAGGACUGACCCCAGAACUGUCCCUUCAUCUCCUUUGCUAUAGAAGCAAACAACAAGCAUCAGAAGUAAACACCAGGCACCAACACGUUUCAUGUUUGAAAGCAAUCAAGGAAUAGUCCAGUCCUCCUAGGCACGGUACACACUGAAUGUUCUCAUUACUUUGAGGGAGGACACUGAUACUAUAAGCACCAAACGUGGUUUCUCAGAGGACUUCAGAACUUCACCAUAAACACGCAAGCUUUCUGGUCUAUGCAGUAUUCUACCAAGUUCUAAGCUUAUCUGAAAGAAAGCAAGGAAGCUGAAGAAGAAAAUACAACUUUUGGAGCUGCUCUGCCCAGACUGUUCUUGUGGAGACCAACAAACCAAAGAAAUCCAGUGCCUGUGAAAAUCGAGCACGUGUCCCUGGGAGCAGAGGAGUAAUAGAGCAUCCACAAAAAUAGGCAACUAAAAGCUGGAAAUCACAAUCUGGAAGAAAUUUUGCUGGAGAUUGCUUUUACUGGAGUGAUGACUGACUGUAUGCAGUGCCUUAGAGGAGUGGGUAUCUGCAUAGCAAUGGUCCAGUUCCCUGUGAAAUUUCUGUGGAAAAAGCCCUUUGCCUUCCUCAGCAGACCACCUUCUGUGUCAGUCUUGACAAAGAGCUGGAGACUGAAUUGCACGUUUGCCCCGUAGGUGUCACCGGAGGACUAAGCAUCUGAUGUGCUUCCUGAGAUCUACCUUCAUUUAAAACUAUUAUGUUCUUGAUAUGAUCUGUUUAAAUUCCAAAUCAAGUCUUCAAAAACAACCUAUGAAAAUGGAUAUCCAAAUCCUGAUUUCAAACAUGGCAGCAAAAGCUCAUGAUCUUAAAGUCUGCAGUCAGAUUCCAAAGCUCCUGGAGUCACAGCAACUUUGAUUAGGAGUGACCACAGGACGCUGCACAGAGACAAUUUUUCCCCUAUAUUAAGCACCUUUCUGAGAUGUGCAGAGUGAGGAAAAGCUAAAACCUGAACCCAGCAGCCCACACCACAGUACCAGCUGACCUACCUGGUCAUGAAGAUCUUGAUGCAGCAAAUUUCAUAGGGAUGCUCAGCAAGUCUAUCAGAACCUCUCUGUGAUCUGGACCUCUCAGCAAGACUAUGCACUGCUGGGCCCUGUAUGAGCACCUGGAGAAAGGACUGAAGAAGCCAGCUUCAUAAAAUUGAUUGCAUGCAUCAGGACAGAGCCAACGCUGCUGUUCAUUAUCUUUAUUAAUGUUAAACACUUGCACUACUCUGUUGCCUUGCUUGAUAACUGAAGCUUGCAAAAAAAUCCAGAUGAUGAGACAAUGCAGAUUUCUCUAAAGCAUAAGCUUGGUGAAACUCAUUCAAUAGAGUCACAAAGACAAAAAAGAAAAAAUCCAUUUGGGAAUAAUCUGGUUUCAAAGCACUAGUUCUGCUGGGCAGGUGGGAAGAGAGGGAGUGGAGAGCAGUUCUGCUGCACAUGUCCUGCCAUGAAAUGCUGAAACAGAACAUGGUUUUACAGCAGUGUGGGCUGAGAAGGCUGGGGGCUGGAUCCAGGCCUUGAAACACUUGAACUUGACCUUCUGACCUCAGCAAGACUCAUCUUAGAGAAACAUCAUCCUGGCAGCCCAAAAGGUUGCUUUCUCCUGCUAGCUCUCCAACUGCUGGAACAAGCUGCUCGGCAGCUAUGAACCCAGCCUUCUCAAGGAGUGGGGCUGAGCCAUCCCUGAUGCACUUUGUGCUGCUGUGCACAGGGAGGCCCUGGGCUCCCUUCUCCAUUUCACCAGGGAUGCAGGAGCAGGAAGGCCCCAGUGUGUGAGAGCAGCACAGUGCAGAGGCACAUCUCAGGCUGUGCUCAGGAAAACACAGAAAAUGCAGCAGUGUUGACACCUCUUAAAUAUGACCGUUAUCCUCAGCAGUACAAUUUUCUUUCGAAGGCAUUUUCCUGUUGCUUAAGACUGCAGCACCAUCUUUUCCUGAGCAGAGAUUUCUCUUUUUAAGCCAUGCAUGUGUAUAAUUUAUUUAUCUCUAUGGAUUUCAGUUCUACUGACCUGUUUCCUGCUUUACUCAGUUCACAUCAAGAGUACCACAAUCUAAUUGACCACCAUAUUUAACUGCUGACAAAACUAUUCUUAAAAAAUGAAAAAAAACCCAACUCUAUACUAACUUAAAUAGACAAGAAAGUAUGACAACAGAAUGACAGUAAAAAUAAUAUUGUAAUAUUCACAGCAAUUAGUAAAAUUCCUUCUGCAUAUGGUUUGCCAGAAGUUCCAACAGCCACCUUAUCUUCUCCAAUACUAAAAGAUAAUGAAGUUUUAGAACCUCAUGUCAAUGUGCUCGCGGCAUAUGAAGGUACACAACUGUCAAAGAUGCACAAUUGUACAGAACAAAAGAAAUGAGACAUGAAAUGCUCCACUGCCAAAAUGUAAUGAUUUUGGGAUCAAUUUGAAGUACAUGUACAACUCAGAUGAUCUGCAGCCUAUUAAGAAAACAAACAAAACUAAAACAUCAACGGAUACCCAACUUUUUGUUCAGCUGUUUUAACAUGAGCAGAAGAACUGCAUCAUUUGAAGUAAUCUAUUGUAAUCUUGUGUGAUAGUCUUUUGGGCUCUCGUACUAAACAAUUUCAUUUGCAUGUCUGCCGAUAACUUUAUCACAAGCAGAUUUACCGCACCACGUAUCAGCCAGCUAACAUUCCUGAGUUGAUCCUUAUUUGCAUCUUUAUUUCAUCUAGCUUCACACUUUAUCCGUAUGCCUGUCUAUCAAUCUUUCUGAAACUUCUGAAACUGAAUUUCUGGAAAAAAAAAAAAGCUCUGCCUUUGAACCAUUUCAUCACCAUGGAGGAACAAUCAAUAAAAAACACCACCAACCUAAGUAAAAGCGCAGUGCGUAUGUUUGUAACUGCAUAUCUUCCCGUGUUUUAAAUGUCCAUUUAUUUUUACAGAGCCUUCCAAAGAGCACAGAUUUGAAAGAAAAACAUU